UCUCCUGCCUCCGCGCACCGGUCGGGAUGUGCUGUGCGCGUGGUUCAGGGAUGGCGAGUGUUUGUGGGCGCGCUGGGCCUCCGACGGCCAGGACGCCGGGCAGCGACUCGCGCCGUCCGAGCCUGGGGACGCGCCCGCGGCGGCCCUGCUGGCCCGAGGUUCUGGGCCCUGAACACGUUGGGGACAGUGGCCGGGUCUGGCCGCGGCCACGUUGUCCGGGGAACCUCAGCGGGCCCCGGAGCGGCCCCCAGUCUGCGCUCCUGCAUCCCCACGCCGGGAAGUAGGGAGAUGGGUUUGAAUGCGUUUAAGUUUGUUGGUCACCCCCUGUAUGCCGGGGAGUUUUUAAUAGAAGCGAGGAUUUCGCUCGUGUGCAGGGGAAAGGCCUCACCGUCCGACUGCCUGCGUGCCCGCCCUGCCGCGGUGUGACGUCCGUCGGCGCACAAGGAAAGUGCCUUUCAGGUUUAGAUCUUGACAACCGUUUCGAGGCGCAGAACUUGGCAGAAAUCGAAUGAGUAUCACCAACUUUGCAGGUGAAAGAUGGCUGCUGGAAGCAUAGACUGCUACUUGCCGAGUAGUGUCUGGGAGCACAACGGUGACUGACCUAAGGAUGUCUUCGGUGAGGAAUUUGAAAAUUUGAUCUUCACAGGAGUUGCUUGGAUCAUUUAAAGUUUCCAGGAGCCUGAGGUGUAUUGAAAUUAUUGCCCUUGGACAGUCCAUAAAUACACAUUUUAAAUGGUGGGGCUAUGAAUAAAUAAUUUAAUGUG